ensembl:lncRNA
UAAAAUUGUAGCUGUUUUUGUUUUAUGUGAUAAAAAUGAAUUUGAUCUUUCCAUUGUCAGAGAUGAUUAAAUGUUUUUGCUAUAUACUUUUAUACAUUAUUUUCUUAUCAAACUAGUUAACAAGUAUUUUUAUAUGUUUGUAAGCAAAUAUGCUUUCACAGCAUAACUUGUGUAUAUGUAAAGAUGAGUAUUUAAUUCUCACAGUUCACUUUUAACUGACAAAAUGUGGGAUUUGCCAACUGUGGUAAACUUCUCCUUACUGUUCUGGUUCUACCCAAGAACGGCCCAUUAUGUGCCUGCCCAACACACCCAUAGAGUAAAAUCUAGUGUUGUGUUUUAAUCGAUUUCAGUAUCCCUUACUAAAGACUGACCAUUAUGUGAAUUAUUAAACUGUAAGACUUUUAACUGAUUGUUUAGUUAAACUGUGGAUGGUUGUUUAAUUUGAGUUCUGUGGAUUGUGUUUAAACAAUUCAAGAAUAUGUUCCCUGAUAUUGAAAUACGGAGUGGUAUUGCACAGUUGUCACCUUAUCAAAUGUGUCCAACAGUUCUUUGAAACUUGAUUAUUAAGCAAACCCUUGUAUAACUUCAGGUGCUAGAAUUAAAGAUGAUCUAACCAUUAUCAGGAGGCUGUGCUGACUGUCAGUUGCUCUGCCAUAAAUCUGUAACUCUCUGCUGAGGAAACAGUGCUUAAACAAGUUCCAGUUACCUUCACUGUAGCAAAGCUUUAAUCCUAGAAGUAACACUUAACACCAUGCAUAGCGGAGGAAUAUGAUUCCCCUCUGUCCUCUUAUCUUUCAAAAGCUGUGUAUGACUUGCUGAACAAGGACAAUGCAGGACUGUUGCUGAAGGAGGUGACACUGACAGUGGGCAUAGAUAAGGCUGAGGUACCCAAUGCUGCCUUUGCCUCAAUGUCAACCAACAGGGUCUCUCAGGCCUCUAUGAUUAGUGAAAAAGUACAAGGAGGAGAAGAGCCACCAGCAGUGAAUGAGGAUGGAGUCGAGGUUACUUGAGAGCUCUCAGCACGAACAAAUUCCUGGGACAUGACAGGCUGCAUCCAAGUGGGGUGAGGGAACCAGCCAAUGUCCUUGAAAGGCUGCUCUGUCAUCUUUGAAAAGUCAUGGAGAUUGGGGAAAUUCCUGAUGACUGGACGAAAGCAGAUGCUGUGUUUAUCUUCARAAAUGGCCUGAAGAGCAAUCUAGGGAGCUACAGGCAGUCGGACUUACUUUAGUGCCUGGGAAAAUCAUCCAGCCAGCCCUCUUGGAACAUGUUUCUGGGCAUAUGAAUAGAAGAUGAUUGGGAACAGUCAGCAUGGAUUUAGGGUAAAUCACACCUGGCCAAUAUGAUUGCCUUCUAUGAUGAAAUGAUUGGACUUGUGGAUGAGGGGAGAGCAGUGAAUGUUAUUUACCUUGGCUCAGCAAGGCUUUCACCACUUUCUCCCACCACAUUUUUGUAUCAAAUGUAGGACCUUGCAGUUUGGGUGGAUGGAUGACCAGGUGGGUAAAAAACUGCCUGAAUGACUGGGCUCAGAGGGUAGUGGUUAAUGGGUUGGCCUCCAAGUAGAGUACAGUAACAAGCAGGGAUCUAGCCUGCAACCUGUCAUGUUAAACAUCUCUAUCGGUGAUCUGGAGGAGAUGAAAGAG